rnacentral:rRNA from 1 species
AUUGAACGCUGGCGGCAGGCCUAACACAUGCAAGUCGAGCGGAUGAAGGGAGCUUGCUCCUGGAUUCAGCGGCGGACGGGUGAGUAAUGCCUAGGAAUCUGCCUGGUAGUGGGGGAUAACGUCCGGAAACGGGCGCUAAUACCGCAUACGUCCUGAGGGAGAAAGUGGGGGAUCUUCGGACCUCACGCUAUCAGAUGAGCCUAGGUCGGAUUAGCUAGUUGGUGGGGUAAAGGCCUACCAAGGCGACGCUCCGUAGCUGGUCUGAGGGGAUGAUCAGUCACAUCGGAACUGAGACACGGCACAGACUCCUACGGGAGGCAGCAGUGGGGAAUAUUGGACAAUGGGCGAAAGCCUGAUCCAGCCAUGCCGCGUGUGUGAAGAAGGUCUUCGGAUUGUAAAGCACUUUAAGUUGGGAGGAAGGGCAGUAAGUUAACACCUUGCUGUUUUGACGUUACCAACAGAAUAAGCACCGGCUAACUUCGUG